AAAGUGACAUAAACCUCUCCUUCAUUAGUCUCUCUACUCUUUCUAAAACCUCUUUCCUCCAUUUUUCUACUCUUUCAACUGACGAUGCCAAAGAACGACAAGGAGCAGAGCCAGCCCUCAUAAGAAAGAGUGAGCAAAUUAUCAAACUACCAUGAUUUCUCGUUUCAUUAAUCCUCAUCAUUUCCCUCUCUAUUUUCAGUUCUUUUACACUCUCCACUCCCUCAUUUCUUCUCUUACCGGAGCUAACCAUACCUCCGCCCGCUUCUGCUCCCGAUAAUUCAUUAUAUACUCACCCAGAUUUAUAGCC
rnacentral:lncRNA from 1 species